CCUACGGGUGGCAGCAGUGGGGGAUAUUGCACAAUGGGGGGAACCCUGAUGCAGCGACGCCGCGUGGGUGAAGGAGUGCUUCGGCAUGUAAAGCCCUAUCGGCAGGGAAGAAGCAAGACGGUACCUGGGGAGGAAGCUCCGGCUAACUACGUGCCAGCAGCCGCGGUAAUACGUAGGGAGCAAGCGUUGUCCGGAAUUACUGGGUGUAAAGGGAGCGUAGGCGGGGAUGCAAGUUGGGUGUCAAAACUACCGGCUCAACCGAUAGUCGCACUCAAAACUGCAGCUCUUGAGUGAAGUAGAGGCAGGCGGAAUUCCUAGUGUAGCGGUGAAAUGCGUAGAUAUUAGGAGGAACACCAGUGGCGAAGGCGGCCUGCUGGGCUUUUACUGACGCUGAGGCUCGAAAGUGUGGGGAGCAAACAGGAUUAGAUACCCGGGUAGUC
rnacentral:rRNA from 1 species